rnacentral:lncRNA from 1 species
UAUCUAUACAAUACAUAAUUUGACAGUUCGGUUAUAACAGAAAAAUGGUUUCUAAGAGAGCCACAUAGCCAUUUAAGGCAUGAAUCAAUGGGAGUUUGCCACAUGUAAUAAAAAUUUUGGACCUGCCUGUUACACCGUAGACCAAUUCUAAAAUUUGCAUCAAAGAUAAAUUUCUAUAAUAUAGUAAAUUAUUUAGAUACUUAAUUAAUAAUUAUAGCUUUAUUUUAUAUUAUAAAUUAUAUAUCAAAUAUUCCAUCAAUUAUUUAAUACUGUGU